rnacentral:rRNA from 1 species
AACACAAACCCCGGCGCUGAAUGCGUCAAGGAAUGUAAAAUUUGCUCUGAGCGCACCUGCAUGGCACCGGAGACGGUUUUCGUGCGGGUUGUGUUCUGACACAUAAUAUAGAAUGACUCUCGGCAACGGAUAUCUAGGCUCUUGCAUCGAUGAAGAACGUAGCGAAAUGCGAUACUUGGUGUGAAUUGCAGAAUCCCGUGAACCAUCGAGUCUUUGAACGCAAGUUGCGCCCGAUGCCAUUAGGUUGAGGGCACGUCUGCCUGGGCGUCACAUAUCGAAGCCUCUUGCCAAUUUCCUAAUGAUAGGUAUUGUGCAGGGUGAAUGUUGGCCUCCCGUGAGCUCCAUCGUCUCAUGGUUGGUUGAAAACUGAGACCUUGGUAGUUUGUGCCAUGAUAGAUGGUGGUUGUGUUACGCACGAACCCAAAUAAUCAUGUGCUGCUCUAUCGAAUUUAGCCUCUUUUACCCAUAUGUGUUUCUAAACGCUCGUGAUGAGACCUCAGGUCAGGCGGGGCUACCCGCUGAAUUUAAGCAUAUCAAUAAGCGGAGGAAAAGAAACUAACAAGGAUUCC